rnacentral:rRNA from 1 species
AUACGGAGGGGGUUAGCGUUGUUCGGAAUUACUGGGCGUAAAGCGCACGUAGGCGGACUGGAAAGUUGGGGGUGAAAUCCCGGGGCUCAACCCCGGAACUGCCUCCAAAACUUCCAAUCUAGAGAUCGAGAGAGGUGAGUGGAAUUCCAAGUGUAGAGGUGAAAUUCGUAGAUAUUUGGAGGAACACCAGUGGCGAAGGCGGCUCACUGGCUCGAUACUGACGCUGCGGUGCGAAAGCGUGGGGAGCAAACAGGAUUAGAUACCCCGGUAGUCC